rnacentral:lncRNA from 1 species
AUCUUUUUUUUUUGAAAAAAAAUAGCAUGCUACCUGCUUUAGUCAUUAAAAGAAUGAACUACGCUAUAGGGGUGAGGUAACAAAAGCCUCGGAGGGGGCAGGGAAAAAAAAACUACCGACAACCAACGUGUAGCCGAUUAGUUGAGAGGAAUUGCUCCCAAAGAUUCAUCAGCUGCUUAAUCUUGUAUACUGUAAGAAGGGGUCCGACUUCCAGACCUUCAAAAUUACCCACCAACAGGCUGCCAAUCCGGAUAUCAUAGUACUCAUUGACUGUAUUCCAAUACUCGCCAUCCACCUAGAUCACGUCGUCCCCUCAAUUUCUAGGCUGGACAUUCUCCAAGAUCAUUACCUUCAGGAAUCUCGAAAAAACGCACCGUGUGAAUAAGUGGUCGAUAGUUUCUUUUUCAAAUCCAUACAACACGCAGGUUGUGUGUGUACAAAAAUCUUAAUAUCGAAAUUUAACUCAAUGAAUGAGUUCUGUAUAAUUUUAAAAGAUUCAUGGAUUAAAAACUAAUUAUAAAUUCAGGAUAAAUAAUUUUUACGGAUCGAAUAAUCUCUUUUCGUAUAGUAAUGCCUAAAAAAUAAUAAUACAUUUAAAAAUUAUAUUUUUAAUAAGCCAAAAUACAAAUAAU